rfam:Picea glauca, whole genome shotgun sequence.
GUUCGACAUCAUGCGAGGGAAGGAUUCAAUGGCCCUAUUCAGCUGCAGGUAACAGGUGUGGAACACCGCAUUUGACUGCCAUUGCUUCACCAUGUCUCUCGAAUACCAUAGAAUAGUGAACUUCACAGCUAGUGGUUCAGACGACUCAAUUUCAGGGAAGGUUGUGGGAGAACACAAUAUAAGAUUUUUGCUGCUAGGUGAAGUGGUUGAGUAUUUCACCCUAGAUGGUGAGAGUUUAGUAGCAACAAUCAUCAUUGGAUUAUGCUCUAACCUGAGUAGCAUGGGGCAUGUGGAAUCCCAUGUGAAUCAGCAAGGACCACCUUGCAAGGCUAAAUAAUCCUGGGUGAUCGAUAGAGAAGUAGUAUCAUGAGGGAAAGGUAAAAAGAACCCCCAUCGAGGAGUGAAAUAGAACAUGAAAUCGUAAUCUCCCAAGCAGUGGGAGGAAAAUGAUAUGUCUGGCUGUGUGUCUGUUGAAUAAUGAGUCAACGAAUUAUAGGCAGUGGCUUGGUUAAGGGAACCCAUCGGAUUUGCAGCAAGAGCGAGUCUUCAUGGGGAAAUUGUCAUUUCUUAUGGACUUGAACUUGGGUGAUAUAUCCAUGAGUAGGAUGAAUCUUGGGUGAAACUAAGUGGAGGUAUGAACUGAAUGAUGUUGAAAAAUCAAUGGAUGAGUCGCGGUAAGGGGUGAAAUGCCACUCGAACCCAUAGCUAGCUGGUUUUCCCCAUAAUGCAUUGAGGCGUAGCAGUUGAUUGGACCAUCUAGGGGUAAAGCAUUAUUUUGAUACAGGCCACGAGAGUGAUACCAAAUCGAGGAAAAAUCUAAAUACUAGAUUUCCCCAAUAAAAGGGGUAAAGGUCAUCCAGUGAGAUUAUGGGGGAUAAGCUUCAUCAUCGAGAGGGUAACAACCCAGAUCACCAACUAAGGCCCCUAAAUGACCACUCAUUGAUGAAGGAAGUAUGAAUGCAAAGACAACUAGGAGGUUUUCCUAGGAGCAACCUACCUUGAAAGAGUGUGUAAUAUCUCACUAAUAGAGUGCUCUUGCAUUGAAUAUGAAUGUGACUAAGCAAACUUCCAAAUCUAUGGGAUGUAAAAAUACAUUUGUAGGGGAGUGUUCCACCUCAGAGGGAACCACCAACGUGAGUAGGUUUGGGCGAAGUGGAAGUGAUAAUGUUGGCUUCAGUAAUGAAAACAUUGGUGAGAAUACAUUGCCCUGAAAACCUAAGGGUUCCUCUGCAAGUUUCAUCCACAGAGGGUGAGUCGGAGCCUAAAAUCAAGCCGAAAGGUGUAGUCGAGGGAGAACAAGUGAAUAUUCAUGUACUACCCCUUUUUGGUCCAGAGGGAUGGAGGACACUAGGUUAGCCAAAAGAUGGUUAUCGAUUCAAGGACGGAAGGUGACCUUAUUUUUUUUAGGGUAAGAAUGGGUAGAGAAAAUUCCUCAAGCCAAUGUUUGAGUACCAAGUGCUAGAACGUUGAAGUAACCGAUGGCAUACUCCUAGUAAAAGUUCGAGCGACUUUAACAAAUGGGUACUUGUACCUAAAACUGACACAGGUAGGUAGGUAGAGAAUAACUAAGGACGCGAGACAACUCUCUCUAAGGAAAUUUUAAAAAUAGCCCCAUAACUUUGGGAGAAGGGGUACCUCCUCAAGAGGUCAUAGUGACCAGGCCCAAGUGACUAUUUACCAAAAACACAGGUCUCUGAAAAGUAGUAAGACCAUGUAUGGGGGAUGAUGCUUGCUCAAUGCCGGAAGGUUAAGGAAGUUGGUGACCUGAUGAUGGGGAAGCUAGUGACCAAAUCGAUGGUGAACGAUGACCAUAACUAUAAUGGUCCUAAGGUAGUGAAAUUCCUUUUUGGAUAAGUUUUGACCCACACAAAAGGCAUAACGACUAGGGAAUUUUCUCGGAGAGAGACUCGGUGAAAUAGACAUGUCUAUGAAGAUGUGAACUACCUGCACCUAGACAAAAAGACCCUAUGAAGAUUUAUUUUUCCUUGAUAUUGUAUUUGGGUUAUUCUUGCACAACUUAUGUGGAAGGCGAAGAAGGCCUCCUUCUGGGGGGGGCUAAGCCACCAGGGAGAUACGACUCUCGAAGAGCUAGAAUUAUAACUUUGUGUCGGGACCUAUGGGCCAAGGGAAAAUCUUAGGUAUAUAGUUUAUAUGGGGUGUAGGCCUCCCAAAAGGUAACGGAGGCAUGCAAAGGUUUCCUCAUGCUGGACAAAAAUCGACCCUCAUGUGCAAAGGAAGAAGGGAUCUUGACUGCAAGAUCCACCCGUCAAGCAGAGAUGAAAGUUAACCUUAGUGAUCUGAUGAUGUUAAGUGGAAAUGUCGUCUCUCAAUGGAUAAAAGUUACUCUAGGGAUAAAAUGUUGUUCUUCCCCAAGAGUUCACAUCGACGGGAAGGUUUGGCACUUCGAUGUCGACUCUUCGCCACAUGGGGCAGUAGUACAUUCCAAUGGUUGGGUUGUUCUACCAUUAAAGAAAGUGGUACAUGAGCUAGGUUUAGAACAUCUUGAGACAGUUUGGUCCAUAUCUGGUGUGGGUUUUAGAUCAUUGAAAGGACCUUUCCCUACUAUGAUAGGACCAAGAAGGACGCACCUCUGGUGUACCAUUUAUCAUGCCCACGGUAGAUGUUGGGUAGCGAAUUGCAGAGUGGAUAACUAAUGAAAUCAUAUAAGUAGGAAUACCACCCCAAUAUGAGUUCUCUCCUAUUAUUACUUCCCUGAGAGUCCUAGUCACGAACAUGACUGGGAAAACGACGGGUUCUUUGUCCUUGCAGGGGAUAGAGUGAAAAAAGUAUUGAAAAUAAAAGAUAACCUCAUGGAGAGACAAGUAAUUUAUCAUUAUGAUAGGUGUCAAGUGGAAGUGAAGUGAUGUAUGCAACUGAGGCAUCCUAAUAGACCGAGAUAUUUGAACCU